ACUCACUUGGUGAAAUUGGUAGACACGAUAGACUCAAACUCUGUUCCUUUAUUCGGGAUAUCGGUUCGAAUCCGAUAGUGAGUA
rnacentral:tRNA from 2 species